rnacentral:rRNA from 1 species
UACGUAGGGUGCGAGCGUUGUCCGGAAUUAUUGGGCGUAAAGAGCUCGUAGGCGGCCUGUUGCGUCCGCUGUGAAAGCCCGGGGCUUAACCCCGGGUCGGCAGUGGAUACGGGCAGGCUAGAGUGCGGUAGGGGAGAUUGGAAUUCCUGGUGUAGCGGUGGAAUGCGCAGAUAUCAGGAGGAACACCGAUGGCGAAGGCAGGUCUCUGGGCCAUUACUGACACUGAGAAGCGAAAGCAUGGGGAGCGAACAGG